GGUCAAAUACUUUAUUUAGAAGAUUUAGUUUGCAACUAAAAUGUGGGUUUACCCUUUAACCA
rnacentral:tRNA from 1 species